CAAGGUCUCCGUUGGUGAACCAGCGGAGGGAUCAUUAAAGAGUUCUAUAACUCCCAAACCCAUGUGAACAUACCUUACGUUGCCUCGGCAGGUCGCGCUAUCCCGUAGCGUCUUACCCUGUAGGACCUACCCGGUAGACGCGGGUAAGCCUGCCGGCGGCCCACGAAACUCUGUUUAAUAUUGAAUUCUGAACCUAUAACUAAAUAAGUUAAAACUUUCAACAACGGAUCUCUUGGUUCUGGCAUCGAUGAAGAACGCAGCGAAAUGCGAUAAGUAAUGUGGAUUGCAGAAUUCAGUGAAUCAUCGAAUCUUUGAACGCACAUUGCGCCCAUUAGUAUUCUAGUGGGCAUGCCUGUUCGAGCGUCAUUUCAACCCUUAAGCCUCUGUUGCUUAGUGUUGGGAGCCUACGGCACUCGUAGCUCCUCAAAGUUAGUGGCGGAGUCGGUUCACACUCUAGACGUAGUAAUUUUUAUCUCGCCUAUCAGUUGGACCGGUCCCCUGCCGUAAAACCCCCCAUUUUUAAAGGUUGACCUCGGAUCAGGUAGGAAUACCCG
rnacentral:rRNA from 1 species